GUGGCACAGCAGAUCCUGAAGCCAGAGGAGCACGUGUACAUAAGGGUAAAGAGAUUCCUUCUGUCGCACUGGUAUUUGGACCUGAGAAAGGUACCAGGUUUUCUCCAGCUUUUCUACAGUUUUGAUUUUGAGUACAAAACAGCACGAGUGGAUCCUCAGAUUUCUUGGGGAAGGGCUGCGUGACAAACAUUGCUGUGAGCUCUAUGUCUACCAGAGGAUUUUCCGGGUCAUU